CCAAUAGCGUAUAUUAAAGUUGUUGCAGUUAAAAAGCUCGUAGUUGAAUUUCGGGAUCAAGGAAUCGGUCAUGCCUUGGUAUGUACUGGUUUUAUUGGUUCUCACCUUCUAAAGAACCAUAAUGUCAUUCAUUUGAUGUUAUGGGGAAUUAGGACUGUUACCUUGAAAAAAUUAGAGUGUUUAAAGCAGGCUUACGCUUGAAUACAUUAGCAUGGAAUAAUGAAAUAGGACAUCAGAUUCUAUUUUGUUGGUUUCUAGGAUCGAUGUAAUGAUUAAUAGGGAUAGUUGGGGGCAUUAGUAUUCAAUUGUCAGAGGUGAAAUUCUUGGAUUUAUUGAAGACUAACUACUGCGAAAGCAUUUGCCAAGGAUGUUUUCAUUAAUCAAGAACGAAAGUUAGGGGAUCGAAGACGAUCAGAUACCGUCGUAGUCUUAACCAUAAACUAUGCCGACUAGGGAUCGGAUGAUGUUUAUUUUUUAGUGACUCAUUCGGCACCUUACG
rnacentral:rRNA from 1 species